rnacentral:rRNA from 1 species
GAAAUCCUACGGGGGGCAGCAGUGAGGAAUAUUGGUCAAUGGCCGUAAGGCUGAACCAGCCAAGUCGCGUGAAGGGAGAAGGAUCUAUGGUUUGUAAACUUCUUUUAUAGGGGAAUAAAGGUAUCCACGUGUGGAUAUUUGCAUGUACCCUAUGAAUAAGCAUCGGCUAACUCCGUGCCAGCAGCCGCGGUAAUACGGAGGAUGCGAGCGUUAUCCGGAUUUAUUGGGUUUAAAGGGUGCGUAGGUUGUUUUUUAAGUCAGCGGUGAAAGUUUGUGGUUCAACCAUAAGAUUGCCGUUGAAAUUG